CGGGAUGUAGCGCAGGUGGCUAGCGCGCAGCGUUCGGGACGCUGAGGUCGUGAGUUCAAAUCUCACCAUCCCGACCA
rnacentral:tRNA from 1 species